GUUCCCUACGGGAGGCAGCAGUGGGGAAUAUUGGGCAAUGGGCGCAAGCCUGACCCAGCAACGCCGCGUGAAGGAAGAAGGCUUUCGGGUUGUAAACUUCUUUUCUCAGGGACGAAGAAAGUGACGGUACCUGAGGAAUAAGCCACGGCUAACUACGUGCCAGCAGCCGCGGUAAUACGUAGGUGGCAAGCGUUGUCCGGAUUUACUGGGUGUAAAGGGCGUGUAGCCGGGCUGACAAGUCAGAUGUGAAAUUCCGGGGCUCAACCCCGGACCUGCAUUUGAAACUGUUGGUCUUGAGUAUCGGG
rnacentral:rRNA from 1 species